rfam:Capsicum annuum cultivar Zunla-1 chromosome 4, whole genome shotgun sequence
UGAUAAUGGUGAGAGCAAUUUCUGAGCAUACCCUUAAUCUCCCUAAAGUUUUGUAAAGAUUCUCUCCUUUUUUCUAUCUGAAACUCAAGAUCUCACUUCUCAAGCA